UACAGAGGGUGCGAGCGUUAAUCGGAAUUACUGGGCGUAAAGCGCGCGUAGGCGGCUUUGCAAGUCGGGUGUGAAAUCCCCAGGCUUAACCUGGGAACUGCAUUCGAGACUGCAUUGCUAGAGUAUGGGAGAGGGAAGUGGAAUCUCCGGUGUAGCGGUGAAAUGCGUAGAUAUCGGAAGGAACAUCAGUGGCGAAAGCGACUUCCUGGACCAAUACUGACGCUCAUGUGCGAAAGCGUGGGGAGCAAACAGG
rnacentral:rRNA from 1 species